UUGAGAAUUAUGAUGAGUGGACAAUUGAUUUGAGGAAGCUAAACAUGGGUCCAGCUUUUGCUCAGGGGGCUUUUGGGAAACUCUACAAGGGAACAUACAAUGGUGAGGAUGUUGCUAUCAAGCUUCUAGAGAGGCCAGAAAAUGAUCUUGAGAGAGCUCAGUUGAUGGAGCAGGCAUUUCAGCAGGAAGUCAUGAUGUUGGCAAGGUUGAAGCAUCCAAACAUAGUGCGUUUUAUUAGUGGAUGCCGUAAACCUAUGGUCUGGUGUAUUGUGACUGAAUAUGCAAAAGGGGGAUCAGUGCGUCAGUUUCUGGCCAGGAGACAAAAUCGAUCAGUGCCCUUGAAGUUAGCGGUGAAGCAGGCAUUAGACGUGGCAAGGGGGAUGGAAUAUGUUCAUGGCCUGAAUCUAAUACACCGUGACCUGAAAUCUGACAAUCUACUGAUUGCUGCGGACAAGUCGAUCAAGAUUGCGGAUUUUGGGGUUGCUCGUAUUGAAGUGCAGACUGAAGGAAUGACACCAGAGACUGGAACAUACCGCUGGAUGGCUCCGUAAGUGUCUGGACUCUCUAGCAGCCUUAUUAAAUCAUCUUAUCUCAUUCCUGUCUUUGGUCUUCGGCAUUAGCCCUUAGCAAAGCUGUUUCACUCUCUUUGGAAUGCGUAUCUUUUUUUGUGUUAGUUAUAUAGUUUCCAACAUCCUCCUGCUAAGUAUAUUUGAUUCAUGUAUGUUAGAUAUCCGUGCCUGUAUGGUACCACCUUUUACUUACCAAGAAAAAAGAGGAAUGGCUGCAAACAGAAAUAUGUUUGUUCAGCACGAUAUGUUUGCUUGGACAAUAAAUUUGUACUAUAACCUUCUCUCAAUGGUCUGAAAUAUAACAGCACGUUGCAUAUCUUUUUCAAAAUUGAAAGGUAAUGUGCGCUUAAUAGGGAGCAUUUUCCCCUAAGCUAUUUUUGUUUUUGUACCUUUUCUCCUUGAACUAUGGAAAGGCAGCACCAUUAUCCCUUCUGUAUACUCCACCUUAAGUUGAGUGUAUAACAUGCUUAUUCUGUGUGCUGCUCUCCACUGUUUCUGGUCGUUAAUAAUUGAAAGUGUUGUAUGGAACAUUGGAUGUACUGCAAUUUAAUCUGGCCAAUUAUUUCAUAUUUGAAUAUUAAAAAUUAAUUGCUGGUGUAGUGUAAAAUUACUUUUUCACAUGAAAAGGAAAAAAAGGAUAAAAGGGUAAAAAAGGGAAGAGACAUCCGUUGGGUAAACACUCUAACCUUAAAGACUUCUCAGUAGUUCAUUACCUAUUAAAAAAACGAAGUUUGGAAUAUUUCACUAUCAGUUAGUGUUUUGACUACUUUCCAUCAGCAAAUUGCUAAAGAUUAGAAACGAAUUGCUUGUAGUUCAUACUUCAUACAACUAUAACUACAACUACAACAACUAUUCCUCAAUCUCAAACUACUUCUGGCUGUGUUUGAAGAUUGAAUUUGGUAUUUUCUUAGUGAGUAAAAAGAGCUAGAGUGCGAUUUUCUAUGCAACUACAACCUAUGCCUCAACAACACCGUGUUGCAUUCCUUUUUCAAGGUUGAAAGUUAGUGCGUGUUUAAUAGGAAGCAUUUUCCCUUGAGCUAUUUUUUGAAUUUUUUCUCCUUGAAAUAUGGAAUGGUAAUACCAUUAAAUCAUCUAUAUACUCUGCCUACAAUUGAGUGUAUAACAUGCUUAUUCUGUGUGUUGCACUCCACGAUUUCUGGUUGUUAAUAUUGAAGUUCUGUAUUUUACACUAUGCAUAUAAUACAAUGUAAUCUCAACAACAACAACAAGUCAACAACCCAGUAGAAUCCCACCAGUGGGGUCUGAGGAGAGUAGAGUGUACGCAGACCUUACCCCUACUCCGAAGGGGUAAAGAUACAAUAUAAUCUGUCCAGGAUUAAUUAAAAGCUAUUUAAGAGUGUCAUGUACAAAUACUUUUUUACCAAAAAAGGAAAAUAGAAAUAAGAAAGAGAUGUUAGUUGGGUGAAGAUUCUAAUUGUAAAGACUUAGUAGUUCAUUUCUUAUUAAAAAAAAAUGGAAUGUUUCACUGUUGUUUAGUGUUUUGACUACUUUUCAACAUCGAAUUGUUACUUGUUUCUGGAAAUUGGCUUUGGUACUUAAGUAUGCAAUUAGCCCAUUAUGUUCUUUUCCUAAAUUUCUUUUCGGAGCAAAAAGAGCUAGAGUGUGAUUUUCUGAUGUAAUUUUCGAUAGAGCAUAACCAAAGGGGAGCGCUCCCUAAUUAUCAAAGGAGGUGCUUUAACAGUCUCUGUGGUGCAACUCUCCAAGAAGACUAACAAGUUGUACUUUCUUUUGUGAAGUUGCUACCUAUUCAUAAAAAAAUUUCCUUUUCUUGAUUUGAUAUGUCUACACCUCCCUUUCUCUGUUCCAAUUUCUGACACUCUUUCCACUUUCCCAAAAUGUUUGAUAUUAUUCCAUGCAAUUUUCACAACUUUCAAGUAUUUUAGUUCAUUUAGCUAUUAAAAUUUUGAGCUUUGAUUUGAUGGUUUCUCUAUAAACCUAAGUUUUUAACCAUAACUUUGAUAUUUUCUUCUACUUUGAAUAAUUUAAUUUCUAAGUCAAAUUCACGUCUUAAAUUCUUCUUAGAGUUGAAUACCAUCAUAUAAAAUGAGACAGGAGGAAGUUAUAUAUUAUUGUAUUCAAGGACGCUUCAAGUUUAUGGUAAACUUUAAUACAAGGAAGCACCUGGGGAUGUCUUCUGUGUACAAAGAUAAGAGCAUAAGACUACCUCUAAAUCUCAGAUCAUAACUCGUUGCUGGUAAUACUUAUGUGAAACAUUAGCCAUUUUGGUAGUUUUAGCCAUUUUAACUUAAAAAGUUGAGCUUUCUUUCAUGGCGUGUCCUUAUUCUUGACUAGAUAGAGAGAGGCAGACUAUGCUCCAAUAUUUAUUUCCCCAUUUCGAAAGUUGGAAGUAGAAAAAUGGAUAUUUUCAUCGGAUCCAGCUUUUCUGAUUAGUACUCUAUGCAUUAUCAUUCGUGCUGAGAUUUUUCUGUAUUGAAAUGUGAGUUCUGAGAAUAUAUCACGUUGGGUAUGCUGAUGAAUAUCUUUCUACUUUCGUGCUUCUUAUGGAAGGUUGAGUUAACAGGAAACUUGAAGUAGUGCCUUUAAUUCCUUCCUUUGUAGAUCUGUUUGUGAACUUUCUUUUGGACAAGAAUUUUAGAAGGAAGACUGAAUGCUGGUUCUAAAUGCAUAAAUGAGUAAAAGUGGGAGCCAAUCGCUGUCUGACUUUUAGGUGGCCAAAUUGGAAUUCGUGUUGCAAAGUUGGAGGAAAGGCAGUGUGUAUUUUCUAUGAGCAGACGUGGAAACCAAAUGUGUUACGUGUUUUCACUAUUGAUCUGUGGAAAAUUCGAAAUGGUUUUGGUUGCUUGAGGUCUGGUCUAUGUCGGUUUCAUAUUGGUUUCUAAUUUAGCUCAAUGAGGCCAGCAAUUGGUCCUUUAAUGUGACGUGGUUAAAUAAAAUUGCUGUUGGUAAAGCACACGAGUAAUAUGCUUUUCACUAUUUUAGCUUUAGUUUUCCUUUCAUCACAAAUGAAGCAGACUGGUAUAUAGUAUCCUAUCUUAGAUUGUCACUUCUAGGAAAUAGAUUAACUCACUUUAUUUGAAUUGCUUUCAUAGAAAGCCUAGCAACUCUUAUUCAUAAUGCACAGACAUAGUCUUGACAACCUAAAUGAUUUCAAAUAGACAUUACUGCUUGUCUCAAGUUCAGAGAGUAGAAUAGCACAGCAGAAGUUGUCUGUCAUGGCAUGAAUUAAUGAAGUCUUUGGGAGGAAAGCUAAAAAAGUGAGUGAGGGUUGGGUCUUUCCCUUUUAUCUUCAUACCCGGAGCAUUUCCUUUUCAGGUUAGCACAUUUUACUGAUCCCAUACAGCAGCACUUUAUUUAUUGAGGUUUAUUAUGAGCUGACCUUUGCUGGCGAAAGUGCUAUUGUUCCAUAAACAAAAGGACAUUUUCCUCAAUCCUUCCAACUAGAUAGGUAGCUCUUUUUUUCUUCAUUUUCCCUGCAGGAAAAUGUCAUAAGCUUGGCACGUCAACUAUUAAUGGGACUACUAUUCUUGAUAUUAUUUUAGUUCAUAAAGAAGGGUAGAUUCGUUUAGAUUGCUGUGAGAGAAGCGGUGAUUCUGUCGUGGUUUCUGGGAGAGAGGCAGCUUCCGGAGCAUCUUUUCCAGCUAGGUAGUGAGCAAUCACUCAAAAAUGAACACUAUUGAAAGCGGCCGGAAUGAGUACUUUCCCUUCAAAUACUUUUGUUGGGAUCCCGUUUUGACAAUCACUCCAUAGUCUGUGAUUCAGUUAGUUAAGCUUACAGAUACGUUCACUUGGUGGUUUAGUUGCUUAGUUUGCCGGUCAUACCUAGUCUUGUUUAGCAUGGUCAUUACCAUCUACAAAGUCUGUUUAGUAGGGAUAAUUAUAAUGUACACUUAGCUGUUGUCGCAUCAGAUUUUGUUCAAUGUUUCUGCGUACCACAUCAUUUUACCUUUAAUAAUUUUGACCAAUCAAAAAGAUAAACAUAAUGUCGACUGAUUACCUUUCAGGCUCGCUCUUUCCUAAGAUGGUGCUCGAGUUACUCAAGAUAAUUUCCAACACCAUGUUCUAGAUCUAGAGAAGAACCUUACUAGAUUUUUCCAUGCCAAUCAACAACUUAGAAGUAUGCUUGUGUGGGUCAAGGCAUUGGUAUGCUUAAUCGACAUGAAAAUGAGAACAUGGAGUAUAAUUUAUUUCCAGCCGGGGGGUUCUUUUUUAAUCUUUUGUUUGCAUAACUUGUCAGACAAGCUUGUUUUAAAGAAGUUUUAUUCUUAAACAUACAAGGGAUAAUCACUUCUGUUGGAAUAAGUUGAGAGCCACAAAAGUGCUGAUCCCCCUUCUUUUUAAUUCACAUUUCUCAUCAGACAAAUUUGUUUCAAAAACUAUUUCUUAGAAAUACAAUGGAUCAACACUUGGUCGAGAGGCACAAAAGUUUUCCCUCUUUGUAGAAUAGAGCAUCCAUUUUGUGUCUCUCGACGUUUUGCAACAAUUCCAAUAUUUGCAAGUCGAAAGGAAGAGGACUCCAGAUGCUUGAAAGUUCAAUCCAAUUCUUCCAAAAUUUUCUAUUUACCAAAAAAGUAAAAGAAAAACUUCAAAAAUUUUCUAUUUCAGCCAACAACCUCUUACUAGAUGACAUUAAGAAGUAGAGUGCCGGAAGUAGCUCCUUUGGUGCUCACAUGGACGAUAUGGGAAGAUGAACAUGGAGUGUUGGAAGGAGUUGAAAGUUCCCUUGUAUAGUUUAGCAAUAUUCUUAAAGGCGAAAAGCACAAAAAACGACAAGGGUCCCUAGGACAUUAAGUGGAAAACUGCAAAGUGAAGCGCACAAUUUAUUGAAAAUAAAGUACCAAAACAUAAAUGAGUUUAAACUAUAAUACUUAAAUAGCAAUUAACAUCACUAAUUUCAACGUAAGAAAUGAGCUUAAUAAGAAAUCUCUAAGAACUUCGAAUACCGUACCUCAGGUCAUUUGGCAGACUGUCUGGCUUGAAAGAAACAAUAGGAUUUUUGAAGGCACAACGAGAAACAUUCUCAGCCUUAAACAUAGUUGAAUUAACAUCACUAAUUUCAACGUAAGAAACGACAAGGGUCCCUAGGACAUUAAGUGGAAAACUGCAAAGUGAAGCGCACAAUUUAUUGAAAAUAAAGUACCAAAACAUAAAUGAGUUUAAACUAUAAUACUUAAAUAGCAAUUAACAUCACUAAUUUCAACGUAAGAAAGGAGCUUAAUAAGAAAUCUCUAAGAACUUCGAAUACCGUACCUCAGGUCAUUUGGUGGACUGUUUGGCUUGAAAGAAACAACAGGAUUUUUGAAGGCACAACGAGAAACAUUCUCAGCCUUAAACAGAGUUGUAUUUUCUUUGUUAGCUUUUUGGUGCAAUCUGGUUAUUGAACAUGAUAUAGAUGGAAUUUUUACAACUUAUAAUUAUGCCUGAUGCACUAGCUAGGUGCAUAAGUUUAUAACAUCUUUAAUUACUUAUCAAAGAAAAAUAACUUAUUUCAACGUACAAUAAUUGCCGAUGGUAAUCCAACUUCUCAAAUACAUUUGAGGAAUAACCUCUUAUUCUAAGUGUUUUUGUGUUUUUGGUGCACCCAUGGAGUUUCUAUGCAUAUAGAAGAUUGGAUGACAUCUAUAGAUAACCAUAUUUCUGUAGGUUCUCUACUUAACCAUAUUUCUGUAGGUUCACUACUUUUUGGUAUAGUUCACUACUUUUUGGUAUACGACUUGCAUAUGAGAGUUUUCCCAGAUUAAUAAAAUUGUUUACCAGAAAGAAAAAGAAAAUUAAGCUAACUCCUCAAAGUUGAGAUUUUCAAAGAACUGGCUGUUUCUCGUCAAGAUCUAGUCAAGCUAUUGAAGUUAACUAGCCAUCUUUCCAUCUCCCAAUAAAAGCAGUACCUACAGAUUUCCAACAUCCAUGAACUCCCUGAUUUAUGUUUAAGCUUUCAUUUGGUUGGAAAAUGUGAAAAAUGGAUUUUUUUGUUUGCUUGUUUGUGUUUCGAAUAGGACAUUUCUUUUAGAAAUUUACUCUGAAAACCAUGGUGAUUCUAGCUUCCAGAAAUAGUGUUGAAAUGGUUGUGAUUAGAACAGAUGCAUGAGGUCGCUCAGGUGAUAUUUAGGUUUGCUAAUGUGGGUGAGAUUAGCACAUCCCGGUCAUGGUAGAUGUAUCAAAAUUAUUAGUGGAUGACUUGUUGAAGGAAAAUAAGAAAUAUGCUUUUUGACUAAUGUAAUAAUGGUCUUGCCUAAAUUACCAAAAUAAAUAAUUAAUGGUCUUGCUUAAAUCCUCAUAUCAGAUACAGAUUGUCUAUUCAUCUGAAAAAGGAAAUUAGGUUUCUAGUGAGAAAUCUGUGUUGUAGCAAUUCUGCCUAGUAUAGAUAUUUUUUCUUCCAGUGUUGUGAUAUAUCAGGAUUCUUCUCAUUUGGAAAAAAGAAAAACAUCCAAAAUCGUUUAGCAUGUAUGUUUCAUUGUUGGUUACUUGAGUGCAUUUACUCUGAUAUGCAGGGAGAUGAUCCAGCAUCGAGCUUACACCCACAAAGUCGAUGUUUAUAGUUUUGGCAUCGUUCUGUGGGAACUCAUAACAGGGAUGCUUCCCUUCCAGAAAAUGACCGCUGUGCAGGCAGCUUUUGCUGUUGUCAACAAAGGUGUUCGUCCAGCAAUCCCCAAUGAUUGUUUGACUGUCCUAAGUGAGAUCAUGACCCGCUGCUGGGAUGCUAACCCUGAUAAUAGGCCACCAUUCUCUCAAGUGGUCAGAAUGCUCGAGGUCGCAGAGACAGAGAUCAUGACAACUGUCAGAAAGGCCCGUUUUAGGUGCUGCAUAAGCCAACCGAUGACUACUGAUUAAUGUGGGAAGAGGAAUCUAGAAGCAGUAAGAACAGGAGUAAAGAAUUUGGGAAGCCCAAAAAAACAGCUGAUUUAAGUCCUUUAUGUGUAUCUAUAAUUUCUUUGUUCGAUAGGAAAGAAAGUUAUGAGAACUCUUUGUUGUGUCCUUUUAACCCCCUCUUUUCUCUUUUGAUAUCCCCUGCUGAUAAGUAGUAGAAGAGAGGGCUGGUGUGUAUCAUACCGGUCCUUUUAUGGCAUUGUAGACCUUAUCCUUUGUUGUUAUUAAGUUUGAAUGUAUAAGGUCAUGAAGAAGUUAUUCUCUGAUCCAUGCCCACACCCUCAUCUCUGUGUUGGCUCCCAAUAUUUGAUCUUACAUUGCAGGAAAUAUGGUAGCUCCUUUUAUGGCAUUGUAGACCUUAUCUUUUGUUGUUAUUAAGUUUGAAUGUAUAAGUUCCUGAAGAAGUUACUCUCUGAUCCAUGCCCACACUCUCGUCUCUGUGUUGGCUCCCAAUGUUUGAUCUUACAUUGCAGGAAAUAUGGUAGCAAGAGUAACAUAUUUUGCUUGGAGGACUGAAGUCGUUAAAAUCAAUCUAUAUGACCACAAUGUAUUAGUCAAUGUGGUGUUGGUGAAUGAGAGGUUUUUGAGGAUUGAAUUUCUGAUUAUUAGGGAGCAAGAAUGACGAUUUUGCUUGGAGAUGGGACACAUUCAAAUCAAUUUGUAUGAUCAGGAUAUAGUAGUUGGUAUAAGG
rnacentral:lncRNA from 1 species